CUUAUCUUUUUCUCAUUCUACUUCUCCUUGGAUACCUUUUCGCUCUCUUCCUCUUCAAAUUCUUAUUCCUCUUCAUAAUCUACCGAUUAAAUCCGCCGUGAUGUCCAUAUCUCCGACUUCUCGUCCUCCCUCAAUCCCACCACCUGUUAUCUCACCUCUCCAGCUUCCUCUAACCUCGAUCUCGUUUCCCAAAUACAGAUAUAUCAGAUCUACCCUAUCAUUCAAUAAUUGGGAUGGAUAAGAAGCCCUCCGUUGUUUCAAGGCAGUGGUAGAGAUUCUGGUAAUGGUGGAUGGGAUAACGAUGAUUCGUUCAGAUCUUCAUCUACAGAUAUGAGGCGUGGUCGUGGUGCUCCGGCGAAGUCGGAAUCGUCGGAGGAUAUAUAUUCUCGGUCUCAUAUGCGGUAACAUCGCUCGCUUCAUGAAGCAUUGGAAGAAAGAGGAAAGCUAUGCAGGAAGAAAGUCUUUGUUUUUGGAUGUACAUAACGUAAGCUAUUUCUCUAAUCUUUUUUCUUGUUUUGAUUAUUGGCAGCCACUUUCUUCUUAUCAUUGGACUUAAUACAACUGUGAAGCUAUACUCUAACACUAAUUAAUUCGAGACUUAGCCAAGAGCUUUGCCAAUCAAAGCUACUGGAAUCAAUGGAGAAAGAGUCAUAUUUCUUACCGGCGCAAUGUAUGAUGCCUUGUCUCAGAGUUAGUGGUGUUGUUAUAGUCACUGAAGUAUGCCACAAGGAUAAAGAAGUGCUCUGAUGAAAGACCUCAAGCCAUGGCACUUGUGUUGUAAUUCUGAUUAUGAAGAUUUUUGAAUUAGGCUUGGAAAAUUAUGCCGGAGUUCAAGUAAGAAGUUGCGGCCAUGUCUGGGCUCGGGCUUGUUGCAGGUGUUAUAAAAGUUGUUAAGGUUCUCUAAUGGCUCUUUCACUACGAGCUUCAUCACAACUAUAAGGUUUGAAUCUCUUUAACCAUGUAAAGAGAUUAGAGACUGUGAUAUAUGAAUGAUUCUCUUUUUUUUUUCCUCUAGAUGUCUCUCUAAGUUUGUUAUCUUUUUUAAGUUUGAUGCAACAUUGAUUUUAAGAUAAGGACUAUAGAGGGAUUAUGCACGGGAAUGCUAACGGCAAGGCAAAACACAUAGAGGAGACAAGAUUGAAGUUUGUCUUUAUAAUGUUAGCUUUAUUUUGUUUAAAACUUGGUGUGAUGUUAUGUAAAAAUGGAUAAUGUAACAAUAUUGUUAUGUAUGUUGAUGAUUUAUGAAAUAUAAAAAUUAUUA